CGGAAUUCGUGCGGUCCCGUCUCGAUACCAUUGUAACACAGCAAAGGCGUAACCCGGGAUGCUCAGAUUGGCAUUUGCGUCGUUACACAAAGCACCUGGCUAUAUAAAUCCGCAGACGGAGUAAUAAGCAAUCGGCAGUCAUCCGUCGGCGGGAUUGAUACAUACAUUUAAUUUAUUUGCGGUAUGUAGCGCGCCGCCGUCGCUUUCGUGGCUCCUUUGCAACGCUCUUGCAAUGGUUAUUUCCUGGCUAGUAGUAACCGCAUCGCCCUUCUAUUCAGUGAAGUCCUGCAUACGUACCUCCAACAUGUCGUCACGACAAUGUCCAAAGUAUUGGGGUUCGUUUGGCUGACGCGGUACUCGAUUAUGCCGGCGCGGAAGUGCGUCGACCUCACUUCACCGAACUGCGCAAUGAGCGCCAACACUAAAACCGAAAGGAGAUAUGCCGUUCCUCGUGAUCGUCGCAUCGUCGCUAACUAUUAAUUAAUGUUGGUUCUGGAUAUGACGGUGAGAUGAUGUGAUAUUAAUAGUGCCGAUAGGAUUAAUCGAUGUAUCAUGCACCGCAUCUCCGUCUCCGGGUGCCACUAUUCCGUUUCCUCUCAUAUAAACAGAAACACUUCGAAUUUAUCCAUCCGUGGUGCAGUACAUGAUAACUAUGCUGCCUGUAGCAACCACUCGUCCAUCACACGUCCGUUCUCGUUCGCUUUAAACAUUUCAAUCGUGUACAGACCGUCUAUUUUCAGGCCUGCCUUGUUGUACUCGUAUCGGCCAGACUUCCUGAUAACUCUUUGUAAUCUUGAUUAGGAUCCUGCCUGCCGCAGCGCGUUAAGUAGUAGCUGGCUUCCAAUGCAACCGCUAUUUAAAUUGCGCGCUUGUCCUUUUGUUGGGUGUUACCGCUCAUUAUUACGCUACCCUAUCAUUUGCCAAAAUUAAAGCCAUUACCGUUGUGCCAAUAAAAUCGAUGACACACAAUUGGGAUGCCAUCACCAAUGUUGUAGCAAGUGUAAUGUGGAAGGGAGAAAGAGAGGGGAAGGGAAAAGGAAAUGUUGCGAAGUCCUGUCGAGGGUGCCUGGGGGCAGCGUUUUUUUUUUGAAGUAAUGUAAUCCUUAAAAUUAAGUAAUGUAAUCCUUAAAAUUAAGUAAUGUAAUCCUUAAAAUUAAGUAAUGUAAUCCUUAAAAUUAAG
rnacentral:lncRNA from 1 species